GAUUGGUAUCGGGUUAGCUCUUAUAGGGCGGUUAUUGGGCGGCUUAUCGGCCUAACAUACAUGUUUACUAGAAUUUGAUAGAUCUCUUCAGGCAAUGAUAGAUCAAACACCUAUUCCAGUAUACCUUCAUAUGAGCUAGCUUGUUAAUGUCUUUUCAGGGCAUUCAUUUUAUCCGUGAGGUAGUAUAGCUUUGCCCUCCGCACUUUUUUCUUGUCCAUCACCUUCAUCUUCUUUAUGUUGGGUGAGUACCUGCAAAUCAUCUAGAUCCCGAGAUUAAAAAUGCUUAGAAGUAGNNNN
rnacentral:lncRNA from 1 species